rnacentral:rRNA from 1 species
CAGCUCAAAUUGAAAUCUGGCUCCUUCGGGGUCCGAGUUGUAAUUUGUAGAGGGUGUUUCGGGUGCGAUGCCGGUCUAAGUUCCUUGGAACAGGACGUCGUAGAGGGUGAGAAUCCCGUAUGCGACCGGCGAUCAAGCCCGUGCGAAGCCCCUUCGACGAGUCGAGUUGUUUGGGAAUGCAGCUCAAAAUGGGUGGUAAAUUUCAUCUAAAGCUAAAUACUGGCCAGAGACCGAUAGCGGACAAGUAGAGUGAUCGAAAGAUGAAAAGCACUUUGGAAAGAGAGUCAAACAGUACGUGAAAUUGUUGAAAGGGAAGCGCUUGCAAUCAGACCGGUCCGGAGGCGAUCAGCCGCUGCUCGUCAGCGGUGCACUCGCCUGCGAUCCGGCCAGCAUCGGUUUGGGCGGCGGGAUAAAAGUCCCGGGAAUGUAGCUUCCUCCGGGGAGUCUUAUAGCCCGGGUCGCAAUGCCGCCCGCCCGGACCGAGGACCGCGCUUCGGCUAGGAUGCUGGCGUAAUGGUUGCAAGCG